CCCCCUCUUCUACUUUUAACCUGAUUAUUUCCUCAUAGUUCAUAUCAGUUAUAUGGAACUUCACAAAACUUUCCUUGCUCCUCAAGUCUAAAUUAGCCCUCCCUGGUCACUUUUAUGCCACAGAUUUUCAAAAUUUAUAAUUACAUAUGUGCAUAUGUAUAUGUGUGUGUAUUUGAUAUCAUUUAAGUGUUGACUCCAAGCAAUUCUAAAUAAUGCAAGCACCAAAACUGUGUCUGUCUGCUCAAAUUGCAGUCAUCCCUUAUAUCCAGAGGGACUGGUUCUAGAAACCCUGCAGGUAGCAAGCACUAUGAAUGCCCAACUUCUCUAUAUAAAAUAGUGUCGUAUUUGUACAUAACCUAUGUACAUCCUCCCUAUACUUUAAAUCAUCUCUAUGUUACUUAUAAUACCUACUAUAGUUGUAAAUGUUAUGUAGAUAAUUGUCAUACUGUAUUGUUUUUUAUUUAUAUUAUGUUUUAUUGGCACAUUGUUGUAUUUGGUUGUGUUUUUUUCCCAAAUACUGUUGAUCGGCAGUUGGUUGAGUCUGCAAAUGUAGAGACCGUAUAUAUGGAGGGCUGACUGUAUCCUCUCAGAUCCUUCUGGAGUAUCUGGCAUGUGAUGAGCUCACCAAAAACGUUUAGCGAUUCGAUAAGCCUCUGGUUGAUUUACAGUUCCUGCUUUCUUGACACUCUGUUGCUGGUUUGACUAAAAAAUUCUUCAUGAAAUAUCAUCAUAAAUUGAUUUUUAUUAGAAGUUUUACAGAAGGAAACUAAUUUCAUAUGUUCUGCUCCUAUGAAAGAUUUAAUAUUUUAGUGUGACAUCAUAGCCACUACUUAUUAUUUCGAGGUUUUGCAGUAUUCUUGAUCAUGCGUUGUCAGUGCAAUUCAUUUUUAGAACAAAGAAGAGUGUGAAGUUUAAAAAUUAAUAAACCAGGUUUUAUUUUAGUCUUUGUCUUGAUGGCAUUAGGAGUAAGGAGAUGUGGAGUACCUUGUAUGAAGACUAAUACCAUGGAAAGUUCUGGCCAACUCACAAAUCAUUUAUAUCAGGUUUCUGGAUAAUUGUUUAUAGGCAUACAAUAUGUUGGACUGAUAAAAAGCUGAUAAGUAUAUGAUUCAAUGACUAAGAUAUGUCCAAGUGAAAAUUUUUUACAAAUGGACAAUGCCCUAUUACCAGUGAGCUAUCUCCCUUAGAAACUCAGAUUUAUUACAAUCCCGAUUACCUGUCAGAAUAACAAAGUUGUCCAACAAGAAUUCUUUAAUGCCAAAUUACUUUGCUCAGCUAUUUUUUCUAAAUAAAAUCCUCCUAAAAAAUUCUUUCUUUUUCAUGAGGUUGUGCUUUUUUGUUUUAAUUCCAUAGCUCUUAACCUACCUACCAAUUAUCUCCUAAGUACACACAAGCAGGAGCACCAUCUCAAAUGAUUUUUUCUUUAUAUAUUUAUUUGUUUAUCUAAAAAUUUGUUUUGUUUUGUUUAUGAAAUAUAUGUGUGUGUGUGUGUGUGUGUGUUUUGCUAAAUGUUAGACACUGCUCCAAGCUUUAAAAGCUUCACUCAUUGCUUUUGUCAGUUCAUUUCAUCCAAAAGUAAAAUAUUAUUUACCAUACAAAGUUGUCAUUUCAACAAAUUAUAAUGUUUUUUAAAAAAUGACCUGUCAUGACAUUUAGCAAUUUAGCCCUGCAAUGGAUUUUAUUUACUUCGACUCACCCAUUAGUCUAGAAUUAGGAUUCCAUUUUCCUCUUUCUAAAGAUGACAAUUAUAGAUGUUUUCUUAUUGAAAAAAAUAACAUUCAUUCAUUUUUAUAAACAAACAACAAUAUAAAUAAGCCUAUAGAAGAAAAAUCAAUCAUAUCACUACCCUGUUUAGGUUUUCUCUGUCUUCUAAUCAUAUGCAUAUAUCUGAAAAUGAAUAAUAUUUAAGUGAAGCAAAAAUAGUAUUCAAAGUGUACUUCAACUGAAUACAGCUUUUAUUUGUAUUUCAUUUCUCAGUAUUUUCUCCCCUAUAAAAACAGAGUGAAGUUGUAAGAAUACUAGAGCUGAGUUUCAAAAUUUCAUGUUAAAUAAGAUUUUGCAUGUCAUGGCCUCAGUAAAAUUUCUGGAGCACUUUAUAAUAGUGAGUUUAUUUUCAUGGAAAUCAAAAAACUAGGUUAUGAUAUUCUUUUGUAAUUCCCUAAACCUAUCUAACAGUGCAAGGGUUGUCUAUCCUCCUUACGUAUAAAAUCACUUCUCUAAUGGACCUUAACAUGUACAAUUCUAGGCUGCUCAGCAAGGGCUUUCUGUUACUGUGAAAGAGGAAUAUGAUCAAUAUAACAGCCUCAGUAAUUCCUCUAUCUUUUUGCAAUUCCUCAAAGUGAACCCAAUUCUUUUGCAGAACACAAAGGCUCUGAACACCUGGGAAGUCACCAGUGUGACCCCCACCACCACCCAUUAAGCUUCUUAACUAGCAUGUCCCUCACCAUCACCUCCCUUCCCAAAGCCCUUUGCGUGUGCCUGUCCCCUGGCAAGAGAGUCACAACUAAAUGGCCAAAAGCUAAUGACAAUUCCACCCCAACAUGAAAAAUUGAAUAUAAAUGAGAAUGUUUUGAAAGAUGCCACGAACAGGCCCCGUGCAGUGGCUCAGGCCUGUAAUCCCAGCACUUUGGGAAGCCGAGGCAGGCAGAUCAUGAGGUCGAGAGAUCAAGACCAUCCUGGCCAACAUGGUGAAACCCCGUCUCUACAAAAAAUAC